rnacentral:lncRNA from 1 species
CUCAUUUGAAAUUUCAUAAAUAAAAAAGAAAAUUUCUUCAAACAUUUUUUUGAGAGGAUUAAUAUUCAACAGCAUAGUGAAUUACUCUAAGAGAAAACAAAAAAAUUAAGUUCAUUAGAACACAUUCAUUCUGUGUCAGAAACCUAUGCUGUGUCAACUAUUUAAUCACAAUUCAAAUUUAGAGCUGAAUCCAGCUUGAAUGUUGUGUCCAUACUUGCCCCAACCGUUCAGGGUUCAACCUCUGCGGUCGUAUAAAGCUACGCCC